CAGUCGCCGCUGUAAUACGUAGGUGGCAAGCGUUGUCCGGAAUUAUUGGGCGUAAAGGGCUCGCAGGCGGUUUCUUAAGUCUGAUGUGGAAGCCCCCGGCUCAACCGGGGGGGGUCAUUGGAAACUGGGAAACUUGAGUGCAGAAGAGGAGAGUGGAAUUCCACGUGUAGCGGUGAAAUGCGUAGAGAUGUGGAGGAACACCAGUGGCGAAGGCGACUCUCUGGUCUGUAACUGACGCUGAGGAGCGAAAGCGUGGGGAGCGAACAGGAUUAGAUACCCGCGUAGUCCCUGUCUCUUAUAC
rnacentral:rRNA from 1 species